ACUUUACGCUUAUGUUUCGCACAGAAAACGACGACAACGAUAAUUACGAUUAUCAAUAACAAUCUUUUAACACCGUAUCUGACGCAAUGGGAUCUUCCAAGAAACAUAAAGAGAAAGAUAAAGACAAGGAACAUAAAAAGAAAAGGAAACAUCGAUCUCGUUCUCGAUCUAAAGAGAGAAAAAGACAUCGGCAUGACCGUGACAGAGAAUAUUCGGAUCGUGAAAGAUAUCGCAGAGACGAUGGCUUCCACGAGAAUGAAGAUUACUAUCCCAGAGAACUGGAUGAUGUUGAUAGCAAGAGUUCCUUUAGAGAGUCCUACACAGAUGCUCCAGAGACAGCGGGAGGAUCCAGUGGGGAUGUCUCUCUCAGCAUUGAAGAAACAAAUCGCAUCCGAGCCAAGUUAGGAUUAAAGCCCCUUGAAGUUGGUAAUGAGAAGAAGCAGCAGCACACUGAUUAACGUGAACAUUGUGGAUGAUGAAAAAGCUGAGAAAAAUGUGGAGCUUAAGAAAAAGAAGCCAGACUACAAUCCUUAUGAUGCUGGCGAUGUGGAUGAAUAUGGAAUGUUUAAAGAGAAGAAUGUUCUUGAGAAAUAUGAUGAAGAAAUAGCAGGUGCAAAGAAAGAGAAGUUUCAGCUGGGAUCUGGUGGGAAAUUCAACACAGACCCAGAGAAACAGAUGGACGAGAUUCGCCGACAGCUGCGAGAACAAAGCGAGUCCUUGGGAGGCGUGUCUCUGAAUCCCAUCAACGAGUACCUUACCCCACAGGAAUUAGCAGAAGCUGCCAAGUUUAAGAAAGUGAAGAAAAAAGUGAGAAAAAUCAGAAAGAAAGAGGCAUUGAAGGCAGAUGAUCUCCUUCCCCUACCAAAUCAAGAUCUUGAUGACACAGAUUAUGGAUCAAGAAAAAAAAGCAGAGGAUAUAUAAAGAAAGAGGAGGAAGAAUAUCCAGAUCAAGCCAGCCAUGAGAAUAAUGGCUACGGACAGACCGCUCCCAUUGUUAUAGACUAUGCUCAUGGUCACACCGCGGUCACCGUCAAAGAGCAGCCAAUGGAUGUAGACCAGCCCGAUGAGGAGGAAGACUUAAUCGGUCCAGAUGAGGAUUUAAGCAAAGUUGUGAUAGAAGAGGAUGAGGCAGAGAAAGAACUGCACUCUGCUCUGUCUAAAGCCAGGAAACUAAAGCAGAAGAAAGAGGGCUCAAGUGUGAGUAAGGUAGCAGAACAGGUGCUCUCCAAGGUGAAGGCUGAACCAGAGGAAGCCCUGCAGGACGGGAACAUUAUCCUGAAUGCGACGUCUGAGUUCUGUAGAACACUGGGGGAUAUCCCGACAUACGGACAGUCAGGGAACCGAGAGGAGGACCAGGAAGAACUCGAUUUUGAGAAGGAGCUUGAGGAUAGAAAAAAACAAGAGGAAGACGAACAGGUUACUGGAUGGAACGCGGUGGAAAUUGACGAGACACCUGUUAAUAUCACCGGAGAGGAACAGGCUGUGUUAGAUGAUGAACCGGUUGUAAGCUCUGGUGUUGGAGCUGCCCUGGAGUUGGCCAAAAAGAAAGGCUACAUUGAAGAUGAAGAAAAGAAGCUGGCAGGAGCCAGGAGAAGUAAGGCCAAGGAGGAGCUGGAGGUCCAGAAUUACUCCAUAGAGGACAAGAGAUAUGAUGACCUUGAUGAAAAAUACAGCAGGAAGAGGGAUCGUUACAGUGGGGGAGGGGGGAUGAUUCAGGACUUCAAGGAAAAAGAUGGAUACAAACCCGACGUUAAGUUGGAAUAUGUCGAUGACAGUGGUCGAAUGCUGAAUCGAAAGGAAGCUUUCAGGCAGUUGUCUCACAGAUUCCACGGAAAGGGUUCAGGCAAAAAGAAAACAGAGAAACGAAGUAAAAAACAACAGGAGGAGCAGUUAAUGAAGCAGAUGAGCUCUACUGAUACACCCCUCGGUACCCUGAACAUGCUGCAAGAAAAACAGAGAUCAGAAAAAUCUCCUUACAUCGUGUUGUCUGGCUCCAAAGGAUUUUCAUCAAAUUCCAUCAUCAAACCAAGCCAAAAUUGAUUUUCAUGAGAAAAAGUGAAGUGGAUUUUCUGUUUAGGACUUUUUUAGUUUAUAUGAAAGAAAUAUUCCAUUAUCCAGUCACAACCGAAGGGAUUGAAUCUCUUGUUCAAUUGACUUUGUAGACCGCAGUUCACGUGCAAUGUUUAUCGUGUUACAUACCAUUUGAUUGUCAUUAUUUUAUCAUUAUUAAAAUAACAUACAAUGAAACUUGAACAAGUAC
rnacentral:misc_RNA from 1 species